UGGACCAGGGAUGAAGACUGGUGGCAUCAUGAGUCACAGGAGGAGUGUCCCAUGUCUGAAACUCUCAUGUCCAA
rnacentral:snoRNA from 1 species